rnacentral:lncRNA from 1 species
GUGACUUCCAGACACAUUAGACUAACGGGACCAUAAUGAUCCCUUUUUUCCCUGCCACUUUCAGACAGCGUCAAAGCUUCAAAGAGAAUAGCUUCUAUACUAAAAUAUUUGCACAGCAGCUUCUAUACUAAAAUAUUUGCACACACAUCCUGCUGCAGAGAACAUCCAACAGCAGACUCUGCUGCAGCCACAGACGUUAAUAAUUUGUAAUAAUCCUACAUUAAAGUGCUAAUGUGGAGGUUAAGAACCACAUGGAGAAGUGGGAAAGUUCAGAUAUGUCUCUGAGCACGUACAAUGCAGGGGGGGAAUGAUUCGACUUUGAUUCAUUCUAAAAGCCUCCAUUUCGCCUUGACAUCUCUCUCCCUCACUCUUCCUCGCUCUCUCUCUCUGGACUUCUCUCUCUGUCUCUCUAAAACCUAUUUUCAAUCUCUCUUACUGUCUCUCUCUCUCUCUCUCUCUCUCUCUCUCUCUCUCUCUCUCUCUCUCUCUCUCUCUCUCUCUCUCUCCCUCUCUCCCUCUCCCUCAGCCUUUACCACCCACCAGUCUUUCCUCUCUGUCCCUGUCGGUUUCCUGUGCCACUGUGUCAGCAGAGUGGGAAUUGCAGUACAGGGGUGACAUUUCAAGCAGACAGAUUAGGCCUCUCUCCAAUUAAUUUUGCUUUCCUUCCCGGUUAAAUAUACAAUCAACCAAAAGCAAAAUGUCAGUGAAACAAACGAGGAGAUGUCAUGCGGCUGAGAAUUACCGCCAAGAACCUCAGAAAUGCCAAUAUGUUAAAGCUGGAUCAGACUGCAGGAUGAAUGGGACAAACAAGACCGGGUUCAAAUACUAUUCGAAACCAUCACUGUUUUGGGCUGUUGGUACAAUCAGGGCUGGCCUUAGAUUUACAUGUUAGUGUUCCUUUUAAAUACCACCAUGAGACAUAGGAGAAGGACAGAAAGACAGAAGGUAGAGGGGGAAGAAGACAGUAUUUGUACAAUGUAUCUAGGGAAGUUGAGACACCUGCUCCUCCAACCAACACACAGAUCAAAACCCAGGGUUUUUUAAAACCUGAAAGAAUAAGCCUUUGGUUCCUAAUUGGUACGAAUAGUGCAGCAUGCAGAAGAGUGUCAUUUACUUUUAAUUUUAAAUAAAUGCCUAUUUCGUCUAAUAUCAACUGGCAAAUACAUUUAUUUGCCCUUAUCAAUUAACUCAAUGGAUUGGUAUUCAUUUGACUAGGACGCCCUUCAAAACCAUCCAAAAUCAUGGACUACUGCCUGGGAGUUAACACUAGAACCGUCAUAGGCCAACAGCCACUGAUGUUUGAUUUUGUAAUUAAAAACAAUCUGCCCCCCCAAAAACGAUGUCCUGCUCCUUCCCUGACAUUUGCUAAAUGUUUAUGUUUUACACUGCUCAUUUGUCAGAAGUUUGAAAGUAUUUAGAGCCUUUUAACAUUUUUUUCACACCUAUUUUUUACUUAACCCACCAAGACAAUGUGCUGUAGGACAUUGGUACCCAGCCAGGCGCUAAUGCAUCUCUCUCUCCUCACUGAAUGACAAAUGGAUUUAAAUUAGGCUGACUGAAUGAUCAGGGUGAAGAGGUUGAUUUAAUUGAUUAAACAAUACUAUAAUGAUGAGUUUGUGUUAUGCCUAUUUUUCAGCAGUUCGGCGAUAAGUUAAUAAUUUGACAGUGUCUUG